CGAGUAUAAACCAAGACUAGCCCAGCUUUACUUUCCGAGUAUAAACCCAGACUAGCCCAGCUUUACUUUCCGAGUAUAAACCCAGACUAGCCCAGCUUUACUUUCCGAGUAUAAACCCAGACUAGCUCAGCUUUACUUUCCUAGUAUAAACCAAGACUAGCCCAGCUUAACUUUCCAAGUAUAAACCCAGACUAGCUCUGCUUUACUUUCCGAGUAUAAACCCAGACUAGCUCAGCUUUACUUUCCUAGUAUAAACCAAG